rnacentral:lncRNA from 1 species
CAGAGAGAUAUCCUGCCCCUUCACCCCUCAGCUCUACAAACAGCAAGAGAUAUCCUGGCCCUUUCACCGCUCAGCUCUACAAACAGCAGAGAGAUAUCCUGGCCCUUCACCCCUCAGCUCUACAAACAGCAGAGAGAUAUCCUGGCCCUUCACCGCUCAGCUCUACAAACAGCAGAGAGAUAUCCUGGCCCUUCACCCCUCAGCUCUACAAACAGCAGAGAUUCCUGGCCCUUCACCCCUCAGCUCUACAAACAGCAGAGAGAUAUCCUGGCCUUCACCCCUCAGCUCUACAAACAGCAGAGAGAUAUCCUGGCCCUUCACCGCAGCUCUACAAACAGGAGAGAUAUCCUGGCCCUUCACCCCUAGCUCACAAACAGCAGGAGAUAUCCUGGCCCUUCACCCCUCGCUCUACAAACAGCAGAGAUAUCCUGGCCCUUCAUCAUCCCUCAGCUCUACAAACAGCAGAGAGAUAUCCUGGCCCUUC